rnacentral:snRNA from 1 species
GUGCUCACUUCGGCAGCACAUAUACUAAAAUUGGAACGAUACAGAGAUUAGCAUGGCCUCUGUGCAAGGAUGACACGCAAAUUCGUGAAGCAUUCCAUAUUUUU